rnacentral:rRNA from 1 species
GACGAACGCUGGCGGCGUGCCUAAUACAUGCAAGUAGAACGCUGAAGAGAGGAGCUUGCUCUUCUUGGAUGAGUUGCGAACGGGUGAGUAACGCGUAGGUAACCUGCCUUGUAGCGGGGGAUAACUAUUGGAAACGAUAGCUAAUACCGCAUAACAAUGGAUGACACAUGUCAUUUAUUUGAAAGGGGCAAUUGCUCCACUACAAGAUGGACCUGCGUUGUAUUAGCUAGUAGGUGAGGUAAUGGCUCACCUAGGCGACGAUACAUAGCCGACCUGAGAGGGUGAUCGGCCACACUGGGACUGAGACACGGCCCAGACUCCUACGGGAGGCAGCAGUAGGGAAUCCUCGGCAAUGGGGGCAACCCUGACCGAGCAACGCCGCGUGAGUGAAGAAGGGUUUCGGAUCGUAAAGCUCUGUUGUAAGUCAAGAACGGGUGUGAGAGUGGAAAGUUCACACUGUGACGGUAGCUUACCAGAAAGGGACGGCUAACUACGUG